ensembl:lincRNA
AUAAAAACUGGAGACGUUAAGAAAUUGAUAUUUAAGGAGAUCCAGCCAGAGGAUGAUGGAGAUGGCCUUGAACCCUGAUCUUCAGCCGGCAAAGUCUGCAUUUGCCAGGGCCAUGUUGCUCUGCCACGUGGCCCUCAGAGGCUGAGGUUUCAGCGGCAGGACAUGUGCAUGGGCGGGCAAUUGCGGCCCACGUUUUGACGUUUCUGGCAUCAGCUCUGCCCAGUCUGUUCCACCUUCUGCAAGUUCAAGGGAAGAGUCCAGAGCCAGGAUCACAUCGGGUUUCGCCCUGGGCCUGCAGCUCCGGGCCUCGGAAGCCAGUAAUUCCUUAUCCAGAGCCUGGGAAACUGAAAGUGACCUUCAACACUUGGACACCUGAGAACCAUCACCUAACAGGGUCCUCAGGAGACAGUGCACUAGAGCAAAGGAGCAUGGAAGAGGCACUUUUGUUCCCUUACCUACCAAGGAAGGGGACAGAAUAGCCAGAGGAAAUGAGGCCUUUGGAAACUCCAGAAUGGGGAUUUGAGAACAAUGCAGCCUUCUGGAAGCUGGAGUGCUAAGGGAAGUUACCUUCCGUUGCUACAGGAAGAGUGAGCACAGCAAUGUGCCUGUGGGACCUCUGGCCAGGCUCUGCGGCAGCAGCAGGAGGACAGCAACCUGGGGAAGAAGAGGUGAUUUCAUUUGGUAGGACUCGGAACUUGGGUUGGAGCAAGACCAGACGCCCCACUGUUGGGUUGUCUGUAUUAAAAGCCUCCUCAGCCCCAGGCUUGAUGACCAGCCUCUAUUACUCAGAAGAACUUGUGCAACUCCCUGCUUCUUUAUAUUCAAGCGUCAGCAUGUUUGACCUUUGUUUGCAAUCCAGAACCUGCCUGGGAUUUUACAGAACAAAAACCCAGCUUCAUUCUGAAAAUGAAAUGACAGCUGAUCACUGGAAAGCAGCCCACAGCCCAGAUCCCCACGUUAGCGCAAUCUGAAGUCAAAGUUUCCACCUGGAUGAUUCCAAUGCCAGCUUGACACCUUGGUAAGAGCUCUCAGACAUACCAAACCAGGGGAAAAGGAAAGAGACUCUUUUUUCUUGCUGUCCCAGAUCAGAUAACAUUGCCUGAUUAGUUCCUCUACCAUGAAUUCACACCACAUGUACCCACACGCCAGCCCUUUGCUAAAAGGCCAUCGGCUCUAUUGCUUCCUGCACAAUCAUUCAUAUUUUGCCUCACGCCUUCCCUUCUCCACCUCUGUUUCCGGCUCCUCCCCCCCUCUCCCCCUGAAGUAGCACAAAUGCUUACAAAGAAAAUGUGUCAACAGGUGAAAUUUAUAGGAGUUUCCUGGCCCACACAGAAAUGAGAACCACAGGCGUCCCCAAAGGAGAGAGUUCCCUACCCCGACACUAAGCCUCUUAAAUAUGCCCUGAUUCAUUCGCGUAGGAGUUCUCUAGAGAAACCAGUUAUCUUUUUUUAUGGAAUCAGAGUGUGGAGCUCCUGUUUGGGAAGAGUGGCUUUGAUACAUGCCAGUUGGGAUUAUUUUGAUGCAGUUACAGAAAAACCCAACCCAAACUGGCUUAGUCAAAAUAGGAAUUUAUUGAUUCAGAGAAGCUGAAAAGAGGAAGGCUAGCUUUAGGCAUAAAUCCAUUCAGGAUGCCAGUGGAUCAGUAGCACCUGGGCAUUUUUUUCUUUAUUUCUUUGUUCUGCCUUCCAUUACAUGGACUUUAGUUUUAUGGAUACCAAAAGGAUCUCUGUGAACCCACUCAUUAUCUUAUGUUUUAGAUCAGAGUUUCUUUUUCAAAAGAUACAAUGAAAAAUGUCAUUGUGUCUUAUUGGUUCUUACUAGGUCAUGUAUGAUCCAUGAACGUCAGUGGACGGGGAUGUGAGACUUGCUGAUGACUCAGACCUGGGUCACAAGCUCCACCCUUGGGGCUGAGUGUGGAGUUAGUUUUAAUGGGGCUGCAUGGACACCAGGCACUGUUACCGGGGGACACUGGCCAUGUUCACUGCAGUGAGUUUGGCCUUCUAAGAAAUGAUGUGUGUGUGUGUUUAGUAAUGUUUUGUCUCCACAGCUCAAGCCAGCUGCAUAUCUUGAAAUAACCAUUAUCUGCUCACAUAAAAUAAGAAUUUGCUUUGUACCCCCAUAAUAUGCUGAAAAAAAAAAUAAGAAUUCACACCCAAAGCCAGGGUAGUUUGGAGAAAGGGUUACUGAUUAAACCUCCAAAAGCCAAGGUAGUUUGCCAAAAUUUUGAUAGAAAUGAAUGUUUAUAGCAGCACAAUUCAUAAUCGCAAGGCUGUGGAAGCAGCCCAAGUGCCCAUCAAUCCAAGAAUGGAUUAAUAAAAUGUGGUAUAUGUAUACCAUGGAGUACUAUUCAGCUCUAAGAAACAAUGGUGAUAUAGCACAUCUUAUAUUUUCCUGGUUAGAGCUGGAACCCAUAUUACUAAGUGAAGUAUCCCAAGAAUGGAAAAACAAGCACCAGAUAUAUUCUCCAGCAAACUGGUAUUAACUGAGUAGCACCUAAGUGGACACAUAGGUACUACAGUAAUAGGGUAUUGGGGAGGGG